UCCCGAGUCGUCUAAUGGUAGGACACGGCCCUUUGGAGGCCGGUGUCUUGGUUCGAAUCCAAGCUCGGGAG
rnacentral:tRNA from 1 species